UACGUAGGGGGCAAGCGUUGUCCGGAUUUAUUGGGCGUAAAGAGCGUGUAGGCGGCUUGGUAGGUCCGCUGUGAAAACUCGAGGCUCAACCUCGAGAUGUCGGCGGAAACCACUUGGCUAGAGUCCGGAAGAGGAGAGUGGAAUUCCCGGUGUAGCGGUGAAAUGCGCAGAUAUCAGGAAGAACACCCCGUGGCGAAGGCGGCUCUCUGGGACGGUACUGACGCUGAGACGCGAAAGCGUGGGGAGCGAACAGG
rnacentral:rRNA from 1 species